CAGGUGACUGCUGUAAUUUGGAUGUGUCUCCCAAAGUUUAUGUGUUGGAAAAGUUUCCAGUGCAACAGUUUUGGGAGGGAGAGUGGUUCAUUUCCAUGCUAAAAUUGAAAUAACAAUAAUACAAGGAAUCUAAGGUUCCAAGAGUCAAAGAAGCUUGCCCAAAUGUCACAGUUAAUGAGAGGAAGAACUGGAACUGAAACACAUGUCCUCAGUCUCCAAACCAUGGGAAGCUUCCACUGAGCCACACUACCACCCCGACAUAACAACUUCUAAGGGUUUCCUUCAAGCAGGGACUGAACUGAGUAGCCUGUCAGAGAAGCAAUGAUGUCCUUCACAGGAAGAAGGGGAGGACAUGCUCCCCGAUGCUGGGCUCUGGGGACCAUGCGUGCGCUGCAUGUUGCUGCUGUUUUAUUGACCUUGCUGCCCCACACUCUAUCAGUGGUGGUUGUGGAGAUGGCCAUGGUGGUGGCAUUAAGAUCAUGGCCCUCCAACAAAAGCCAAAAUAGACAAAUGGGACCUAAUCAAACUCCACAGCUUCUGCACGGCAAAAGAAACAGUCAUUAGAGUGAAUCGGCAACCAACAGAAUGGGAAAAAAUUUUUGCAGUUUACCCAUCUGACAAAGGGCUGAUAUCCAGAAUUUACAAAGAACUCAAACAGAUUUACAAGAAAAAAACAAACAAGCCCAUUCAAAAGUGGGCAAAGGAUAUGAACAGACACUUUACAAAAGAAGACAUACACGAGGCCAACAAACAUAUGAAAAAAUGCUGAUCAUCACUGGUCAUAAGAGAAAUGCAAAUCAAAACUAUAUUGAGAUACCAUCUCAUGCCAGCUGGAAUGGCAAUCAUUAAAAAUUCUGGAGACAAUAGAUGCUGGAGAGGAUAUGGAGAAAUAGGAACACUUUUACACUGCUGGUGGGAGUAUAAAUUAGUUCAACCAUUGUGGAAGACAGUGUGGCGAUUCCUCAAGGACCUAGAAAUAGAAAUUCCAUUUGACCCAGCAAUGCCAUUACUGGGUAUAUAUCCGAAGGACUAUAAAUCGUUCUACUAUAAGGACACAUGCACACGAAUGUUCAUUGCAGCACUGUUUACAAUAGCAAAGACCUGGAAUCAACCCAAAUGCCCAUCAAUGAUAGACUGGAUUGGGAAAAUGUGGCACAUAUACACCAUGGAAUAUUAUGCAGCAAUCAAAAACGAUGAGUUCGUGUCUUUUGUAGGGACAUGAAUGAAUCUGGAGAACAUCAUCCUCAGCAAACUGACACAAGAACAGAAAAUGAAAUACUGCAUGUUCUUACUCAUAGGUGGGUGUUGAAAAAUGAGAACACAUGGACACAGGGAGGGGAGCACUACACA